UCGUACUUUUUUUUUGACUUUGAAAGCCAUGGUGGAAAAAAGGUACAAGGAAACCAAAGAUAAAAAAGCCAUUGUGGCUAAAGCAUCUGCAUGUAGUUUGACAUCAGAUAUGUGGACGUCCAUCAAUACUGAUGCCUGUCUAGCUGUGACAUGUCAUUUCAUUGAUGAAACCACAUCCCUCCAAUCAGUUGUACUGGGGGUGCAACAUUUCCCUGAGGCACACACUGCAGCAAACAUGGCUUUUAUGAAAACCUCGCUAAUGUCAGAGUGGGGUAUCAGUGACAAAGUGACAUGUCUAGUGACUGAUGGAGCAGCAAAUAUGGGAGCUUGUGCCAGAGAGCUUCAUAUGCGUCACACUAUUUGUGUGGCACAUACGCUAAAUCUUUUGGUGAAAAAAGCUCUUGACCAAUGUCCUGAAUUGUUCCACAUCCGGGCAAACUGUCGAAAGAUAGUUGGUUAUUUUAAGAGCAGCACUAUAGCAAAGGAGAGACUAACUCAGAUGCAAGUUCAAAUGGGCCUUCCAGUGCUUAAACUUCUUCCGGAGGUUGAAACGAGGUGGAACAGCACUUAUCUCAUGCUUCAGCGUAUCUACACUUUGAGAGAGCCUGUCGGAGCAGCUUUGGCUGGUCUACGCACUGAUCUGACACCAUUGUCUGCUGAACAGUACAGAAUUAUUGCUGUUUGAAAGUAUUGGAGCCAUUUAACUAUGCCACAAUUGAGCUGUCUGAGAAGAAAGUUUCGGGGUCAAAGGUAAUUCCGCUGUUGUCCAUGUUGCAUCACUCCCUGGAGGAAGAAGAGAUUCGACAGCUUCAAACUCCAGAGAGCACAUCCAUGGUUGAGUUUCUGCAAAGACAACUAAGAGAAGCUGAACCAACUCCAGUCUAUGAGCAUUAUGUUUCUGGCUACUCUGCUUGACCCAAGGUUUAAAAAAGUAGGCUUCUUCAGUCCCAGUAAAGCAGCAGAGGCAGAAAAAAGGCUCACGAUGGAAUGCGCAGCUAUCAUGAGCCGCACAGCCUCAUCUACUUCAUCAUCAUUAUCAUCACCGUCGUCGUCAUCAUCAGAACCUUCCCAGUCUGUUGGAGGAAGCAAACUGUGGCAUCAUUUUGAUGCCUCAGUCCAUCAAGCAAGAACCACAAAUGUCACGGCAAAUGCAACAGUUGAGGUGCAAAAGUAUCUGGGAGCACCAAACAUCCCCCGAGUUGAAAGUCCCCUUCAGUACUGGGAAUCACAGAAAUAUACACUUCCAACUUUAUACAAACUUGCUGUAUCCUAUCUAUGCACCCCUGCUUCAUCAGUGCCAUGUGAGUUUUUUCAAAAGCAGAUGAAAUUCUCUGCAAAAAAAGAAACCGCCGGAGUCAAAACUUAGGGGGAAAAAAUAUUGUUUCUAAAUAAAAAUAAGCACAUUUUGCCUCAUUUCACAUUUUCACUUGUUUCAUAUGCACAUAGACAAAGUAACGCACAAUAAUUCAUGUUAAACUUAAAAUAUGUAUUUUCUUUGUAAUCAGCAUGAUUCAUGCACCAAGCAUGUUAUACAUUUUUCUGUCCACAUGAUGGCGUAGUCGAGGUAAUCAAUCCUCUUGAAGCCCCUAGGUGUGUGACUCAUUUCCCUGCAGGGCUUCAUUUUGCCAUCACUAGUGAAAACGUGCCGAAUAUUGCCAACAAUCGUCCUGCUUUGUCAGUGUUAUAUCAGUAAACCAGUGAGCAUUGUUAGCAUGCUCAUUGCAAAAUAACUCCACACAAGGAAGUAAAUACUGUGAGCAGCAAAAAUAAAAACUGUCCUUCUGUUCAAGGACUUUUUUAUUGUUUUGUUUUUUCGGUCAUUUUUUGGCAUAUUGUCCUCAUGAGUGAAUGUUUCUAAUCAAUUUUAAUUUAUUAUUAUUUACUGAUUUUAUUAUUUUUUCUGUAUCAAAUGGUAAAUGUACCUUGAGUGUAUUUUUUUACAGUUUGGAUGUGACUUUUUUUAAUUCAGGCAAAUUGAUGCGCGUCAAGUCUUCUGUUACAAACAACGUCAAGUCUUCUGUUACAAACAACAAUGUUAAUAAAGUUAUACUUUUAAAGUUGAUCUGUUACUUUUUUUAUUAGAAAAAAGGACAAUGUUAGGCAGAUGCGUAUUUAUAAUCGUAAUUUCAUAGACAAAUGAUACUAUUUACAGUGGCGGCAGAGUUUGGGGGGGCGCAAAACAUUUACGUCUUCCUUGGGGGGGCGUAACAAAAUAAUUGAGAAGCACUGCCCUAGUCGCCAUUUC